GGGUGGUCCAAAGGUAGUGAGUUAUCUCAAUUGAUUGUUUACAGUCAGUUACAGAUGAAACUCCUUGUUCUACUUUCCCCCCUUCUCACUACUGUACUUGACCAGUCUUUU
ensembl:Y_RNA Y_RNA Y RNA